rnacentral:rRNA from 1 species
UUGGAGGGCAAGUCUGGUGCCAGCAGCCGCGGUAAUUCCAGCUCCAAUAGCGUAUAUUAAAGUUGUUGCAGUUAAAAAGCUCGUAGUUGAAUUUCGGGGUUCUACCGUUGGUCGGGCUUUGUCUGUACUGGUGUGUAGAAUUUCUACCUUCUGGGGAACCAUCAUGCUAUUAAUUUAGCGUGGUGGGAAACCAGGACCUUUACCUUGAAAAAAUUAGUGUGUUCAAAGCAGGCUUAUGUCUGAAUACAUUAGCGUGGAAUAAUAGAAUAGGACGGUGGUCCUGUUUUGUUGGUUUCUGAAUCACCGUAAUGAUUAAUAGGGAUAGUUGGGGGCAUUAGUAUUCAAUUGUCAGAGGUGAAAUUCUUGGAUUCAUUGAAGACUAACUUCUGCGAAAGCAUUUGCCAAGGAUGUUUUCAUUAAUCAAGAACGAAAGUUAGGGGAUCGAAGACGAUCAGAUACCGUCGUAGUCUUAACCAUAAACUACGCCGACUAGGGAUCGGACGAUGUUAAUUUUUCUUGACUCGUUCGGCGCCUUACGGGAAAC